CCUACGGGAGGCAGCAGUGGGGAAUAUUGCACAAUGGGGGAAACCCUGAUGCAGCGACGCCGCGUGAGUGAAGAAGUAAUUCGGUAUGUAAAGCUCUAUCAGCAGGGAGGAAAAUGACGGUACCUGAGUAAGAAUCCCCGGCUGACUCCGUGCCAGCAGCCGCAGUACUACGUAGGGGGCAAGCGUUAUCCGGAUUUACUGGGUGUAAAGGGAGCGUAGACGGCAGUGCAAGUCUGGAGUGAAAGCCGGGGGCUCAACCCCCGGACUGCGCUGGAAACUGUACGGCUGGAGUGCAGGAGCGGUAAGUGGAAUGCCUAGUGUAGCGGUGAAAUGCGUAGAGAUCAGGAGGAACACCAGUGGCGAAGGCGGCUUACUGGACUGUAACUGACGUUGAGGCUCGAAAGCGUGGGGAGCAAACAGGAUUAGAUACCCGGGUAGUC
rnacentral:rRNA from 1 species